rnacentral:rRNA from 1 species
GACGAACGCUGGCGGCGUGCUUAACACAUGCAAGUCGAACGGUGAACCUCUUCGGAGGGGAUCAGUGGCGAACGGGUGAGUAACACGUGGGCAACCUGCCCCCGGCUCUGGGAUAACUCCAAGAAAUUGGGGCUAAUACCGGAUGUUCACCGCUUCCCGCAUGGGUGGUGGUGGAAAGGGUUUCCGGCUGGGGAUGGGCCCGCGGCCUAUCAGCUUGUUGGUGGGGUAGUGGCCUACCAAGGCGACGACGGGUAGCCGGCCUGAGAGGGUGACCGGCCACACUGGGACUGAGACACGGCCCAGACUCCUACGGGAGGCAGCAGUGGGGAAAAUUGCGCAAUGGGCGGAAGCCUGACGCAGCGACGCCGCGUGGGGGAUGACGGCCUUCGGGUUGUAAACCUCUUUCAGCAGGGACGAAGCGCAAGUGACGGUACCUGCAGAAGAAGCACCGGCCAACUACGUG